rnacentral:rRNA from 1 species
ACGCACGCUGGCGGCGUGCUUAACACAUGCCAGUCGAACGGAAAGGCCCUGCUUUUGUGGGGUGCUCGAGUGGCGAACGGGUGAGUAACACGUGAGUAACCUGCCCUUGACUUUGGGAUAACUUCAGGAAACUGGGGCUAAUACCGGAUAGGAGCUCCUGCUGCAUGGUGGGGGUUGGAAAGUUUCGGCGGUUGGGGAUGGACUCGCGGCUUAUCAGCUUGUUGGUGGGGUAGUGGCUUACCAAGGCUUUGACGGGUAGCCGGCCUGAGAGGGUGACCGGCCACAUUGGGACUGAGAUACGGCCCAGACUCCUACGGGAGGCAGCAGUGGGGAAUAUUGCACAAUGGGCGGAAGCCUGAUGCAGCAACGCCGCGUGCGGGAUGACGGCCUUCGGGUUGUAAACCGCUUUCGCCUGUGACGAAGCGUGAGUGACGGUAAUGGGCAAAGAAGCACCGGCUAACUACGUG